rnacentral:lncRNA from 1 species
ACUGCUUCAUGACAAGAGGUUCCAUGCUGACAGCAUCUGGGGAAACCUCGCUGGGCCUCGGAGGUCCUUCCUAUGGGUGAUAUGCCACCCACCCUGGGUCGAGAGUCAGAGAAGCGCGGCCGGUCCCACUGCUGGCUUCGCCUGCCUGUUUCCCACAGCUUCCCUCUAGUCAUCCACCUACACCUGCUGCCCAGUUCCCUAGAAACCUGCCUAGUGUAAAAGGAAGCAACUCUGGAGAACAGAAUGAGAAAUCAGAAAGCAAGGCCCUGUCCUCUGAGUUCUGUCCUGGAUGGGGACUGAGGAAGACAUCUUUUUUUGUGGUGAGAACACCUAAAAUCUACUCUCUUGGCAAGUUUCAAGAAUACGUUUUAUGUGGUCCAGAGAGGCUGCAUCAGUCUCAGGCCCCUAAGCCUUGCCUGGUUCAACAGUAUUAUUUCACUCACGCUGGUCACCCCAUUGUUAGAAAGAGCAAGGAAAGGAGGAUGAGAAAGGAAGAGAGGGAGGGAGAAAAUUGUCCCCAAGAAAAGGAAACUAUUGUCUGGUGAUGGACAGAUGGUUUCCUCAAUUUAUAUAAUUUAAGAUACAGAUCAUUCCCAAUACAACUUAGAAUCUCAUUAGUCAGUACAAUUUUCUGAAGGUUCAAUCUUUCAUUUCUAUUCUCUACCCUGGCAAGAACGUUGGAGCUUACCAUCAUAAGUGACAGGAAUGAACAUUGGAGCUUACCAUCAUAAGUGACGGGAAUAGCAUUAUCUCCAAACCUGAGAUCCUUCCAAUGGGAAUUCUACAACUCCUGGGAGUUUAUGAUUCACACAUGUAGACAAUGUCUGUACCUAUACUCAGAGAUGUAGACUGGCCUCAAUAGAGUUCAUUGAGCUAAAACAAUACUAGGUAAACAAUGGAAUUUAUUUUCAAGACUGAACUCAGUUCUCAUCAGUUCAAGGUUAACCUCAACAAAAUGAAUCCAGUAAUGGAAAGAAAAUGAAAAAAAGAACAAACAAAACGAAAUGACUGCACUACGUAUUUAGGCCCAGCUGACAGAAUCUCAACACUGAAUGAUACUGAUAAAUAGGUUUCCUUGUGUAUCCAGUGUGAAGUCUUGGUUGUUAUUCGUUUUCCAACGAACAUUAAAGUCAUCUUUGGAUUCUCU